GAUGAAGAACGCAGCGAAAUGCGAAAAGUAAUGUGAAUUGCAGAAUUCAGUGAACCAUCGAAUCUUUGAACGCACAUUGCGCCCGCUGGAACUCCGGCGGGCACGCCUGUCCGAGCGUCAUUUCAACCCUCAGGCCCCCCUUCGCGGGCGGGCCUGGUGUUGGGGCCCGGCCGCUACCCUGCGGCCGUCCCCUAAAUUCAGUGGCGGCCUCGCCGUGAUCCCUUGCGUAGUAAUGCACCUCGCACCGGAGAGCGCCGUGGCCACGCCGUAAAACCCCCAAUUUUCAAUGGUUGACCUCGGGUCAGGUGGGAAUACCCGCUGAACUUAAGCAUAUCAAUAAGCGGAGGA
rnacentral:misc_RNA from 1 species